rnacentral:rRNA from 1 species
AGUGAACGCUGGCGGUAGGCCUAACACAUGCAAGUCGAACGGCAGCACAGGAGAGCUUGCUCUCUGGGUGGCGAGUGGCGGACAGGUGAGGAAUACAUCGGAAUCUACCUUUUCGUGGGGGAUAACGUAGGGAAACUUACGCUAAUACCGCAUACGACCUACGGGUGAAAGUGGGGGACCGCAAGGCCUCACGCGAUUAGAUGAGCCGAUGUCCGAUUAGCUAGUUGGCGGGGUAAUGGCCCACCAAGGCGACGAUCGGUAGCUGGUCUGAGAGGAUGAUCAGCCACACUGGAACUGAGACACGGUCCAGACUCCUGCGGGAGGCAGCAGUGGGGAAUAUUGGACAAUGGGCGCAAGCCUGAUCCAGCCAUACCGCGUGGGUGAAGAAGGCCUUCGGGUUGUAAAGCCCUUUUGUUGGGAAAGAAAUCCUGUCGAUUAAUACUCGGUGGGGAUGACGGUACCCAAAGAAUAAGCACCGGCUAACUUCGUGCCAGCCGCCGCUGUAAAAC